AUCGCUUCUUGGCCUUUUGGCUAAGAUCAAGUGUAAUAUCUGUUCUUAUUAGUUUAAUAUUUGACUAUAUAAAAUACCUACUAAGUAGAAAUAAUCUUGCUAACAUUACAACUUCC
rnacentral:snRNA from 1 species